AGUGAACGCUGGCGGUAGGCCUAACACAUGCAAGUCGAACGGCAGCACAGUAAGAGCUUGCUCUUACGGGUGGCGAGUGGCGGACGGGUGAGGAAUACAUCGGAAUCUACUUUUUCGUGGGGGAUAACGUAGGGAAACUUACGCUAAUACCGCAUACGACCUACGGGUGAAAGCAGGGGAUCUUCGGACCUUGCGCGAUUGAAUGAGCCGAUGUCGGAUUAGCUAGUUGGCGGGGUAAAGGCCCACCAAGGCGACGAUCCGUAGCUGGUCUGAGAGGAUGAUCAGGCACCCUGGCAGUGAGAAACGGCCCCGACUCCUACAGGAGGACGCAGUCGAGACUCUUGCACGAUGGGGCAGUGCGUGAUAUAGCCAUACCGCGGCGGUCAUGAAGCACCCAGGGUUGGAGAGCCAUGUUGUUGGGAGAGUAGUACAGCAGGUUAGUACGCCACUGUACUGACGGUACCCAAAGAAUAAGCCCCGGCUAACUUCGUG
rnacentral:rRNA from 1 species